UCCACAGGAGCAGGUUUGUAUGGGACUGAAGGGAAUCACAAGAUCAUGAAUGUUUGGAAGAAAGAUUAAGAAUUUAAGAUGCAAAACUACAGUUGUUUUGUUGAACUGUAUUUUUUCAGUCAGGAUUGGAAAUUCUUGUGCAUUUACCUUUAGAUCGGCCCCACAGCUUCUGCUAUCAUCUGCAUGGACGGAACGUAGCCCUUGUUUUUUUGUAAGGUGAGACCCUCUUACAAUGUAAGGAGACCAUCUAAACAUUCCUUCAUCUCAAAAACAUGAUGAUUUCCUUCACAGGUGACAAAGAUUCAUGUCUCGAAGUACAUGAACAAAACCAUUGAGAUCUAUGUGGGGUACUGGAUUUCUGAAUGUCACAUUUGAUGGCAGCAGGAAAUCCACAGCAAGGCUGUGUUUUCAAACCGCUGUUACUCGGGACUAACAGGACUUUCAUGGAAACAUGUUCCUGAUAUAGUGCCAUGUUUAAAAAACUCCUCAUGUCUUCCAAUGCAAAAGGCAAAACCGCUGCAUAAGAGUAUAUUUGUGUUUGAAAACAGAUCCUUCAGUAUCAUCGAUCUAAAACAUAUGAAAACAUGAGAGUUCCUUAACACUGCAUGAUGGUAAACAUGUGACGGCGACUUGACGUGCAAGAGAAGGGAACUCCAGUUACCAAACAGUCAUCAUUUACUGAGUUCUUGUUCCUGUUUCACAUGUUCAUGUAUACAGUGAUAAAAUAAUAAAAACCCUGCAGGAUGUUCUCAUGAAAGUUUAUAACAUGACCUUAAACUUGCUGGUGCAAGAUUGUAUGUGAUACAUAAUGAUUCAAAUGAAAUAGAUCUGUUGUUAUAUUUAUUAUAUUUACAUGCAUUAUUUCUUAAUGACAGUUAUGAUGACGGGUUAAAUCAAAAAUCAUGAUUCAAUACAUUAUCUAACUUUGUUCCCAUAGAAGUUCUUUUUCUCAUGAGGUUCAAAUUUGAAUAACAUAAGUUUUCUGUAGAACU